rnacentral:tRNA from 1 species
GGCGGUGUAGCUCAGUGGCAAGAGCACUCGGCUCAUACCCGGGGUGUCCUGAGUUCAAAUCUCAGCACCGCCACCA